UAUUUAGAACGGUGCUGAUCUGAUGAAUAAAAUAUUGAUCAGUGCCUUUCUGAGUAGAGUAA
rnacentral:miRNA from 1 species